UACGUAGGGUGCGAGCGUUAUUCGGAAUUACUGGGCGUAAAGCGUGCGCAGGCGGUGCGCCAAGCUCGAUGUGAAAGCCCCGGGCUUAACCUGGGAAUUGCAUUGAGGACUGGCGUGCUCGAGUGCGGCAGAGGGGGGUGGAAUUCCACGUGUAGCAGUGAAAUGCGUAGAGAUGUGGAGGAACACCGAUGGCGAAGGCAGCCCCCUGGGCCGACACUGACGCUCAUGCACGAAAGCGUGGGGAGCAAACAGG
rnacentral:rRNA from 1 species